rnacentral:rRNA from 1 species
GAGUUUGAUCAUGGCUCAGAACGUACGCUGGCGGCACGCCUAACACAUGCAAGUCGAACGCAGUAGCAAUACUGAGUGGCAAACGGGUGAGUAUAAUGUGGGAAUCUGCCUUUUGGUCUGGAAUAACACGGGGAAACUUGUGCUAAUACCGGAUAAGCCUUUACGGGGAAAGUUUUAAUGCCGAAAGAUGAGCCUGCACUUGAUUAGCUAGUUGGUAAGGUAAAAGCUUACCAAGGCAACGAUCAAUAGCUGUUCUUAGAGGAAGACCAGCCACAUUGGGACUGAGACACGGCCCAGACUCCUACGGGAGGCAGCAGUGGGGAAUCCUGCACAAUGGGGGAAACCCUGAUGCAGCGAUGCCGCGUGAGUGAAGAAGGCCUUUGGGUUGUAAAACUCUUUCGUCGGGGAAGAAAAUGACUGUACCCGAAUAAGAAGGUCCGGCUAACUUCGUGCCAGCAGCCGCGGUAAUACGAAGGGACCUAGCGUAGUUCGGAAUUACUGGGCUUAAAGAGCUCGUAGGUGGUUAAAAAAGUUGAUGGUGAAAUCCCAAGGCUCAACCUUGGAACUGCCAUCAAAACUUUUUAGCUAGAGUGUGAUAGAGGUAAGUGGAAUUUCUAGUGUAGAGGUGAAAUUCGUAGAUAUUAGAAAGAACACCAAAUGCGAAGGCAACUUACUGGGUCACUACUGACACUGAGGAGCGAAAGCAUGGGUAGCGAAGAGGAUUAGAUACCCUCGUAGUCCAUGCCGUAAACGAUGUGUGCUAGACGUUGGAAAUAUAUUUUUCAGUGUCGCAGCGAAAGCAUUAAGCACACCGCCUGGGGAGUACGACCGCAAGGUUAAAACUCAAAUGAAUUGACGGGGACCCGCACAAGCAGUGGAGCAUGUGGGUUUAAUUCGAAGAUACGCGCAGAACCUUACCAACACUUGACAUGUUCGUCGCGAGACUAAGAGAUAGUUUUUCAGUUNNCUGNCGAAACACAGUGCUGCAUGGNUGUCGUCAGCUCG